GACGAACGCUGGCGGCGUGCUUAACACAUGCAAGUCGAACGGAAAGGCCCUGCUUUUGUGGGGUGCUCGAGUGGCGAACGGGUGAGUAACACGUGAGUAACCUGCCCUUGACUUUGGGAUAACUUCAGGAAACUGGGGCUAAUACCGGAUAGGAGCUCCUGCUGCAUGGUGGGGGUUGGAAAGUUUCGGCUGUUGGGGAUCGACUCGCGGCUUAUCAGCUUGUUUGUGGGGUAGUGGCUUACCAAGGCUUUGACGGGUAGCCGGCCUGAGAGGGUGACCGGCAAAAUUGGGACUGAGAUACGGCCCAGACUCCUACGGGAGGCAGCAGUGGGGAAUAUUGCACAAUGGGCGGAAGCCUGAUGCAGCAACGCCGCGUGCGGGAUGACGGCCUUCGGGUUGUAAACCGCUUUCGCAUGUGACGAAGCGUGAGUGACGGUAAUGGGUAAAGAAGCACCGGCUAACUACGUG
rnacentral:rRNA from 1 species